UACGGAGGGAGCUAGCGUUGUUCGGAAAUACUGGGCGUAAAGCGCGUGUAGGCGGCUUUGCAAGUCGGGUGUGAAAGCCCUCAGCUCAACUGAGGAAGUGCGCCCGAAACUGCAGAGCUUGAGUGCCGGAGAGGGUGGCGGAAUUCCCCAAGUAGAGGUGAAAUUCGUAGAUAUGGGGAGGAACACCGGUGGCGAAGGCGGUCGACUGGCCCGUAACUGACGCUCAGGCACGAAAGCGUGGGUAGCGAACAGG
rnacentral:rRNA from 1 species